UACGUAGGGUGCAAGCGUUAAUCGGAAUUACUGGGCGUAAAGCGUGCGCAGGCGGUUAUGUAAGACAGAUGUGAAAUCCCCGGGCUCAACCUGGGAACUGCAUUUGUGACUGCAUAGCUAGAGUACGGUAGAGGGGGAUGGAAUUCCGCGUGUAGCAGUGAAAUGCGUAGAUAUCUGGAGGAACACCGGUGGCGAAGGCGGCAUCCUGGACCGGUAUUGACGCUGAGGCGCGAAAGCCAGGGGAGCAAACGGG
rnacentral:rRNA from 1 species